AAAAAGAAGCUCAGGGACCGUGCCUAGGCCCUGAGUUCAAGCCCCAUAACAGGAGAAAAAAGAAAAGAAAAAAGAAUAUGUGAACAAAUGACUAGGUAGUCUCCUCCCCAGAAUGGAUGAACAGCAGCAGGGAAAGAGGUGGGGGAGUGGAUGGAGAAUUUUAGAGACUUUAAAACUGCAGCAAAUUUAAAUGAGUCAGGGAGCUUCCAUUAGAAAAUGAAAUUAGUGAAGUUUUGUGAAAAGAAUUUUUCUAUGGCUAAAAUGUUCCAGUCUUUUAGCUCUUUCAUUUUGCAUGAUUUAAAAAAUUUAAAAAUAAUUCUAGAAAGAUACCAGUUUAUAAGUAAUCCAAAUGUCAGCUUCUGUCCCACCAUUACCUCCUACCCAAAACAAAUUUGAGUUUAAUGCCCAGAAAAGAUCUAUUUACAUCACACACUUUUUUCCAACAUAAACUCAGACAGAUGUGAGCAGAUGUGCCAGUGUAUAGUAAUUCUCCCCUGAGUUUUAAGAUUAGGAAGAUUAAUAUUCUCCUCUAACCAUCUAAGAUGAAGGUUCUCUGCUUAUAAUAAUGCCUAGGAUUUGUGUAGAACUUGGCAGUUUUCAGAGCAUUUUUACUUGCAUUAUCAUGCAAACACUCU